GGGGCUAUAGCUCAGCUGGGAGAGCGCCUGCCUUGCACGCAGGAGGUCGGCGGUUCGAUCCCGCUUAGCUCCACCA
rnacentral:tRNA from 1 species